rnacentral:rRNA from 1 species
GAGCACGUAGGUGGGUUUGUAAGUCAGAUGUGAAAGCCUUCUGUUCAACGGAAGAAUUGCAUCUGAAACUGCAGGUCUUGAGUGUAGGAGGGGAGAAUGGAACUUCUGGUGGAGCGGUGAAAUGCGUAGAUAUCAGAAGGAACGCCGGCGGCGAAAGCGACUCUCUGGCCUAUAACUGACACUGAGUGUGCGAAAGCUAGGGGAGCAAACGGGAUUAGAUACCCCGGUAGUCCUAGCCGUAAACGAUGGGCACUAAGUAGAGGGGUUUU